GAAUGAUGUUCUGGUUCAGUGUUGGCUGAAAGGAUGUGAAUCAUUUUUCCUGCUUCCUGCAGCAAUUGAAAGUGCAGUCUGUCCUGCUGUUACUGAGUCACCCUGACUGGCUGUGCUCUGUGACAGCCAGUGUGGUCACCGCUAAGCAGCCAAGUGCUGCUGAUAACACACCGCAGCAGAAAAGCAGCUCCAUAGACCUGUUGGUUUGCUUGGUUGUCCCUGUCAUCCGCAUGAUAGUGCUGCUCUGGGCAGCUGCUUCGGUGCAUCUGCACAGUGCAUGUAAGGUAUGAUGUGGGAGUAGUUGUGCCCUUUGGGUCUUAUAACCCUCUUUUUGAGAGCAAGCACAUUUGGGAGCUUUCCAAAUUAUGUGUCACUUCAUACAAAGCUUUCCAGGAACUAGAGGACAUCCUAGGCGCUCUGUACAGGCAUCCCAAAGCUCCUGAGGAGCAUGUCAUUUCUUACUUAUAUGUUGCUGUCGUGGACUUCUCUGAGAACCUGUGUUGGUUUAUUAAGAAACUGCUGGUUCAGUGGAGGGGUUAAUGAAUUGGGAGGCUUGCAGCUGCUGUGAGAGUAGCAGCUACUCAGUAGAGAUUUGCUCCAGAAUCCUAGAUUUUGGUAAGAAGCUGUGCACUCCCUCUGCCUGGAUGGCAGGAUUCAAUUACACUUGUUUUCUGACCGGUUAAUCCGCUCCUAUGAAGGGUAGAAAGAACCUGGACCAGGCUCAGAUGCAUGUCAUGUAGACUUGGACUCCUGGUACUCUGCAGGCGUCUGCUUGAGGGUCUGUUGAGCGGGAAAGGAAUCAGUGUAUGUUGUUUUGGAAAGGGGCAAUGGGUGGGUAGAUACCACCCAUGUUGGGGGUCAGCUAUCAGUAAUGAAGAUACCCUUGUUUAAUGAAGGAUGGUCAUAAAUACCAAAUAGCAUUUGCAGGCCCAAAGGAGGCAAAUGUGCUGGAAACCUGUGUGAUUCAGGCCUUGGUGAGGAAUAUGGGUGCUGUGAACAACCUAUCCCAGUUGGUGGAAAAGUUUAAUGGGGCUGAUAAUGGAGUUGAUGUGUCUCUUCUGGGCUUUUUGCCCCCUUCUCAAUCUGUGGAACACCGAUUGCAAAGGCUGUUGCAUGGUGACAGUAGAAGGGGUUUUAUAGUGAUUUUGCUUAGCACAGGUUGGUUCUGGUGAACUCAGGAUAGGGAGAAUGAAAUUCUAAAGUUUUACUAGUGUGCCUCUCAGUCAUGGAGAGUCCAAACCCCAAAACGCAGCAAGGCUUCCAAAGGGGGCCACUAGAAGCUGAAACCCAAUUUGAAACAUAUCUGAGUGGAUACGGAGGCUCCUGGUGAUGCCCAGUCAUUUCCCUUUCCUCUCAAUGGGCACAUCAUUUUAAGGAUACUUUAAAGUGUGCCUCUUUGGUGGUGAUUUUAAAUUAGGCUGCUUUGCUUUGUACUUAAAUGGUCUAGGAGCUUUGCAGAGUUCAGCUAAGGGUGAAUGAAUCUGGGCAAUUCCUGAAGCUAUCUGAAAACAUAUGUUUGAAGAUGUCCUGGUCUGCACUUUCCCAGAUGCAAAGAAAACUACUCACAAUGCUUUCAACCUGUAUUUUAGCCUGAGAUCAAUGUUAAAACUAAAAAACCACAAAUUGCGGUAAUUUUAUGCUUACGAAAUCUAAGGCCAGAACGGAUCAGCUAAUAUAACUGCUUCUUGGACCCACUAUCUAGCUCUUGGUAUUUAAGGCUCUACUUCAUUGGAUUAAAAGACUUUUUGAACCCAUGACCUCCUCAGCUGGGUGGAGGACGGGCUGGAGACCUGCUUCUGUGUGUGUGCGUGCACAGCUAUGCUUGGAGAUGGGCCCAUAAAUUGGAAAAAUCCUGAAACUGGGCUCCAACUGCUGGAGAUGUCAAGACUGGUUGGCUCCUUGGGGAUGUUAUCUGUGAAGACUUUACCAUAAUGUGGCAAGGCUCUGGAUGCCAGGAUUAACCAACACUCAUCCCAGCACACUUCUCGGAAAUAAAUCCUCCUUUUUUGUGACUUGUUUCAAUAAUAUUCUGCGAAUGACAGCAUUUUGGAUGGUAAGAAAUGUAAGCUCUCUGUGUUACAGACAGGAAUGAACUGUCUGCUUAGCAGAAAUUUCCCUCAUGAUGUCUGCGUGCAUCCCCUAACCCUACUGCUGAGGGCUGGACUGAAUUUUUAUUCUUGUUUUAUUUUUUAAUUGGAAUAGAAACUGAAACAUUUAUUUAUUUGGAGAGGAAAACUCUGUAGAGAGCUACAUGAUACUUUCUAGUCAGAGGCAAAGGAAGAUGUAAGCUGAUUUGGACAACGUGAAAGCUUGAUCUUGCCUCCUGGCCAGAGGGCUCUGACAAAAAACCUAGUAUGUGUUGCCAAGAGGUUAGGAGAAGAUUUGAGCCGUAAGUCCUCCCCAUUGACCUGGUCUAACAAGGAGCAGUUUUCCCCUGCAACAGGUGUGAGUGAUUGACAUGCAAAGAGAUGUGAAAACGAGCCCUUCUUUCUAUUCUUCAACAGCAUAUCAAACGAGAGUCCUCCUGUUAGUGUGCUGCUCCUCUCUCCUUUUACAAGGCAGUGCACUGUCAGAUCAGAUAGUCUGUUUGUAUGACUUUGGAAUGGAAAAGAAUAAAGGCAGUUUCUAUAAAGAAGGAC